rnacentral:rRNA from 1 species
UACGAAGGGCCCGAGCGUUAUUCGGAAUCACUGGGCUUAAAGCGUACGUAGGCUGGCAUGCAGGCAUCUUGUGAAAUCCCUCCGCUCAACGGAGGAACUGCAGGGUGAACCGCAUGCCUUGAGACAGGUAGGGGCUGUCGGAACGCUAGGUGGAGUGGUGAAAUGCGUUGAUAUCUAGCGGAACGCCGAAGGAGAAAUCAGGCAGCUGGGCCUGUUCUGACGCUCAGGUACGAAAGCGUGGGGAGCGAACGGG